rnacentral:rRNA from 1 species
CAGCCGCCGCGGUAAUACGGAGGGCGCGAGCGUUGUCCGGAUUCACUGGGCGUAAAGCGGGUGUAGGCGGUCGGGUAAGUCGGACGUGAAAGCCCGGGGCUCAACCCCGGAAGGGCGUCCGAAACUGCUCGACUUGAGGGCGGGAGAGGGAGGUGGAAUUCCCGGUGUAGCGGUGAAAUGCGUAGAGAUGUGGAGGAACACCAGUGGCGAAGGCGACUUUCUGGUCUGUAACUGACGCUGAGGCGCGAAAGCGUGGGGAGCAAACAGGAUUAGAUACCCUGGUAGUCCACGCCGUAAACGAUGAGUGCUAAGUGUUAGGGGGUUUCCGCCCCUUAGUGCUGCAGCUAACGCAUUAAGCACUCCGCCUGGGGAGUACGGCCGCAAGGCUGAAACUUAAAGGAAUUGGCGGG